CGCCAGACUCCUACGGGAGGCAGCAGUGGGGGAUAUUGCACAAUGGGGGGAACCCUGAUGCAGCGACGCCGCGUGGGUGAAGAAGCGCCUCGGCGCGUAAAGCCCUGUCAGCAGGGAAGAAAAUGACGGUACCUGAAGAAGAAGCCCCGGCUAACUACGUGCCAGCAGCCGCGGUAAUACGUAGGGGGCAAGCGUUAUCCGGAUUUACUGGGUGUAAAGGGAGCGUAGACGGUAUGGCAAGUCUGAAGUGAAAGCCCCGGGCUCAACCUGGGAACUGCUUUGGAAACUGUUAAACUAGAGUGCUGGAGAGGCAGGCGGAAUUCCUAGUGUAGCGGUGAAAUGCGUAGAUAUUAGGAGGAACACCAGUGGCGAAGGCGGCCUGCUGGACAGUAACUGACGUUGAGGCUCGAAAGCGUGGGGAGCAAACAGGAUUAGAUACCCGAGUAGC
rnacentral:rRNA from 1 species